AGGGAUCAUUACUGAGUGAGGGCUUCGGUCCGACCUCCAACCCUUUGUGAACUCGUCUUGUUGCUUCGGGGGCGACCCUGCCGCUUCCGCGGCGCGGCGCCCCCGGAGGCCCUCAAACACUGCAUCAUUGCGUCGGAGUCACAGUAAAUUAAACAAAACUUUCAACAACGGAUCUCUUGGUUCCAGCAUCGAUGAAGAACGCAGCGAAAUGCGAUAAGUAAUGUGAAUUGCAGAAUUCAGUGAAUCAUCGAAUCUUUGAACGCACAUUGCGCCCUCUGGUAUUCCGGGGGGCAUGCCUGUUCGAGCGUCAUUUCACCACUCCAGCCUGGCUGGGUAUUGGGCGUCGCGGCUCCGCGCGCCUCAAAGUCUUCCGGCUGAGCUGUCCGUCUCUAAGCGUUGUGGCAACUAUUCGCUUCGGAGGUCGGGCGGCUACGGCCGUUAAAUCUUUCACCAGGUUGACCUCGGAUCAGGUAGGGAUACCCGCUGAACUUAA
rnacentral:rRNA from 1 species